ACAGCAGUCUGGUUAAGGAAGAAGCAAAGAUUCAACGGUCGAUCUACUACAUAAGUCGAGUAUUGAGAGACACCGAAAUCAGGUAUACUAAGUUAGAAAAACUAACUUACGCCUUAUUGAUUGCAGCUCGAAGGCUCCGACCUUACUUUCAAGGGCACACCAUAACACUGCUCACCGACCAGCCGAUUAAGGCAGUUCUGCAUCGAGCGGAUGCUUUCGGAAGGAUAGAAAAUGGGCGGUCGAGCUCACAGAAUUCGACAUUAACUAUCAACCUCAGCCGAC
rnacentral:lncRNA from 1 species